rnacentral:lncRNA from 1 species
CUGAGGACGAUCACUUCCUGGACUUACUGAAGUACAACCCAAGAAAGUUUGGAGUAAUUUUCAUCCAUCCGUACAGGGAUUGCUGGCCAUUCCUGGCAAGUGGUGACCCCGAAGUGAUCACCUUGCAACAGACACCAUAUGGAUCCCGCCAAAAAAGUAAAGUUUGAAC